CUGCGGNAGGAUCAUUAUUGAAUGUUUGAAGUUGGUUGAGCUGGUCUUGACUGGCAUGUGCUCGCCACUUCUAUUCCUCUUAUCCACCUGUGCACUUAUUGUAGAGCUUUGAAGAAAGCCUUAGUUCAUGCUGAGGUUAGUAUUUGGGUUCUAUGUUUUCACAAACUCUAUGAAUGUCUUGAAUGUCUUUUUAUUGGGACUUGAUUGGCCCUUUAAACUUUAUACAACUUUCAGCAACGGAUCUCUUGGCUCUCGCAUCGAUGAAGAACGCAGCGAAAUGCGAUAAGUAAUGUGAAUUGCAGAAUUCAGUGAAUCAUCGAAUCUUUGAACGCACCUUGCGCCCUUUGGUAUUCCGAAGGGCAUGCCUGUUUGAGUGUCAUUAAAUUCUCAACUUCAAAAGCUUUGUCUUUUUGAAGCUUGGAUGUGAAGGCUUGCUGGCGUUUUAAAUGUUCAGCUCCUUUGAAAUGCAUUAGUGGACCCAUUUGUGUUCAGCCUUAGUGUGAUAAUUAUCUACGCUAUGGUCUUUGAAUGCUUGCUCAUUAGAACUUCGAAGUGUUUCAUACAUUUUCGGUGUGGGGAGUUGCACUAAACAUUUGCUCUCUCUGUCUAUUUGAGUUUGGUUUGUCUGCUUCUAACUGUCUACUGUAUGUGGACAACUUGAACCAUUUGACCUCAAAUCAGGUAGGACUACCCGCUGAACUUAAGCAUAUCAAUAAGCGGAGGAAAAGAAACUAACAAGGAUUCCCCUAGUAACUGCGAGUGAAGAGGGAAAAGCUCAAAUUUAAAAUCUGGCAGUCUCUGGCUGUCCGAGUUGUAAUUUAGAGAAGUGUUACCCGCGUUGGACCGUGUAUAAGUCUCCUGGAAUGGAGCGUCAUAGAGGGUGAGAAUCCCGUCUUUGACACGGACUACCAAGGCAUUGUGGUGCGCUCUCGAAGAGUCGUGUUGUUUGGGAAUGCAGCACUAAAUGGGUGGUAAAUUCCAUCUAAAGCUAAAUAUUGGCGAGAGACCGAUAGCGAACAAGUACCGUGAGGGAAAGAUGAAAAGAACUUUGGAAAGAGAGUUAAACAGUACGUGAAAUUGCUGAAAGGGAAACGCUUGAAGUCAGUCGCGUUGGCUAGGGAUCWACCUUGCUUUUGUGGGGUGUACUUUCUAGUUAACGGGUCAACAUCAGUUUUGA
rnacentral:rRNA from 1 species